UCGGCAUCAUAGUCCUUGUUGCACUGUUGAUGGUGGCAUCAAUUACAAUGCCAGUUGCGGCCUAUGGAAGACAUAGGAAGGGCCAUGGAGCGUAUAAAGGAAGUCAUUCCAGUGGAGGACAUUCUGGCGGAGGGCACAGUGGACAUGGUGGUAAUUAUCACGGCUAUCCUAAAACUGGUGGAAGCUACCGAUAUAGAGGGUGAAACUUUGAAAACAGGAAUAUUUUGUUUUGUAAUGAAUAAAACAAUUGCC